UCUGUUUUCAGAGGAGGCAUCAUAGUAGGGCUCACCACGAUGACACUUCAACCCUGAGUGGCAACAUGAAGAUAUACAAAAGCCUGUUUUCCAACUUGCAGAUCAGAGAACAGACCGGGUCCUGGGAGACCAAAUGGUUUCAUGUCAAGUACACAGCACCUGUGACAAAGCUCCUCCCUCUCCCACUUUCUCAGCACUCCAUUUUUGUUCAUGUAUCUACUUCUCCACCAUGUGACUGAGAGAAAGCUUAUCUGGAUACUAGAACCUGAUUUAUCUGAGCCAAUAAAUGCAUGGCAUUGCCCUGGUGACAUUACUCAUUCAGAGUCGGGCAUAAGGAACUAAAUUUGCCCAAUUACAGUCUAUGAUUGUGGGAGAGGUUUCUUCAGCUCUUUCACAAUAUCUGAACAAAAGGCAACGAUUCACUUAAUAUGUCAACAAACUUGGGACCAUGAGGUCCCGAAUCAAGGAGAAGCUGACAGAUAAAAGACAACCAACAGAGAGAUUUUUGAAACCUGAGUUCUUGAUGACAGCACUGAGCUACUGAAAAUAUCAGCCUGAGAAUCCUACUGACUUCUGAGCUUUUUAGUAUGUGAGAUGAUAAAUAUCCCUAUUAAGUUA